rnacentral:tRNA from 1 species
GGAGAGAUGGCUCAGUGGUUAAGAGCACUGGCUGCUCUUCCAGAGGUCCUGAGUUCAAGUCCCAGCAUUCCA